rnacentral:rRNA from 1 species
GCGGAGGAAAAGAAAAUAACAAUGAUUCCCCUAGUAACGGCGAGUGAAGAGGGAAAAGCUCAAGUUUGGAAGCUUCGUGGCAUAGCUACGACGCGUUGUAAACUGAAGUUUUUUGGGUGAUUGGGCGACCGAAUAAAUAAGUCCUUUGGAAAGGGGCAACAUAGAGGGUGACAUUCCCGUCUUUGGUUCGAGUCAGUUCAAUCGCUACCCAGGAAACGACGAGUCAGGUUGUUUGGGAAUGCAGCCUAAAAUGGGAGGUAAAUCUCUCCUAAAGCUAAAUACUGGCGUAAGACCGAUAGCGAACAAGUACCGUGAGGGAAAGAUGAAAAGGACUUUGAAAAGAGGGUCAAAUAGUACGUGAAAUUGUUGAAAGGGAACCGUAUGAAAGUAGACUGGCUUGGUGAUGAUCAAUGUGUGUUUCGACACGCAUGCACUCAUUGCCAAUUGCCAGCCAGCGGCAGUUUUUGUUGAAGGAAGAAAAUCUUGGGAAUGUGGCUUUGACCUUGGUUGAAGUGUUAUAGCCCUUGAUAAAAUACUUUGGCAGAGACUGAGGCUAGCAGUGGGUCUUUUUGGGAAGUUUGCUCGCUUGUCGCUUGAUGGUCAAGUUUUCUUCGGAUGCUUGAUGAUUGAGAGGCAACUCGUGUGAUGCUUCACCCUCCCACUUAGGUCGCUGGCGUAAUGCUUUGUAUGAC